CAGAGUCAAUGUGGAGGUUAUAUACAGGGGUACCAGUACAGAGUCAAUGUGGAGGUUAUAUACAGGGGGUACCGGUACAGAGUCAAUGUGGAGGCUAUAUACAGGGGGUACCGGUACAGAGUCAAUGUGGAGGCUAUAUACAGGGGGUACCAGUACAGAGUCAAUGUGGAGGAUAUAUACAGGGGGUACCAGUACAGAGUCAAUGUGGAGGUUAUAUACAGGGGGUACCGGUAUAGAGGCAAAGUGGAGGUUAUAUACAGGGGAUACCGGUAUAGAGGCAAUGUGGAGGAUAUAUACAGGGGGUACCAGUACAGAGUCAAUGUGGAGGUUAUAUACAGGGGGUACCGGUAUAGAGGCAAAGUGGAGGAUAUAUACAGGGGGUGCCGGUACAGAGGCAAUGUGGAGGAUAUAUACAGGGGGUACCGGUAUAGAGGCAAAGUGCGGGGGCACCAGUUAAUCGAGGUAAUAUGUACAUGUAGUUAGAGUUAUUAAAAUGACUAGCUGGUCAAAGAACUCAUCCUAGUAACAGGCC
ensembl:lncRNA